GUGCUCGAUUCACAGUACAUGUACUAAAAUUGGAACAAUACAGAGAAGAUUAACAUGUUGCAUAUGUAAGGAUGCCACACAAAUUUCUGAAGCAUUCCACAUAUUA
rfam:Erinaceus europaeus unplaced genomic scaffold scaffold00063, whole genome shotgun sequence